UUUUUUGCACGCUGUAGGGAAUUCUUCCCACAAUGGACAAGAGUGUGAGGGAGCAACGCCGCGCGAGUGAUGAAUGUUUUUCGGAUAGUAAAACUCUGCUUUUUAAAGAAGAACAAGUGUUAGAGAAACUGUUAACAUUUUGACGGUAUUUAACCAGAAAGCCCCGGCUAAUUACGUGCCAGCAGCGGCGGUAAUAAGUAGGUGGCAAGCGUUGUCCGGAUUUAUUGGGCGUAAAGCGAGCGCAGGCGGUUUUGUAAGUCUGCUGUGAAAGCCCUCAGCUCAACUGAGGAAGUGCAGUGGAAACUACAAAACUUGAGUACAGAAGAGGAAAGUGGAACUCCAUGUGUAGCGGUGAAAUGCGUAGAUAUAUGGAAGAACACCAGUGGCGAAGGCGGCUUUGUGGUCUGUUACUGACGCUGAGGCUUGAAAGCAUGGGUAGCGAACAGGAUUAGAUACCCUGGUAGUCCAUGCCGUAAACGAUGAAUACUAGGUGUUGGAGGGUUUCCGCCCUUCAGUGCCGCAGCUAACGCAUUAAGUAUUCCGCCUGGGGAGUACGACCGCAAGGUUGAAACUCAAAGGAAUUGACGGGGGCCCGCACAAGUGGUGGAGCAUGUGGUUUAAUUUGAUGCUACGCGAAGAACCUUACCAGCUCUUGACAUCUUCUGCCAACCCAAGAGAUUGGGCGUUCCCUUCGGGGACAGAAUGACAGGUGGGCAGGGUUUUCCCCUUUUCCUCUUUGUCC
rnacentral:rRNA from 2 species